GCGCGUAAAUUGCCCGAAUCCUGACACAGGGAGGUAGUGACAAGAAAUAACAAUACAGGGCUACUUUAGUCUUGUAAUUGGAAUGAGUACAAUUUACAUCUCUUCACGAGGAUCAAUUGGAGGGCAAGUCUGGUGCCAGCAGCCGCGGUAAUUCCAGCUCCAAUAGCGUAUAUUAAAGUUGUUGCAGUUAAAACGCUCGUAGUCGGAUUUCGGGGCCUGCCUGCCGGUCUGCCGAUGGGUAUGCACUGGCAGGCGCGUCCUUCCUUCCGGAGACUGUCCCUACUCUUAACUGAGCGGGGUCGGGAGACGGAUCGUUUACUUUGAAAAAGUCAGAGUGUUUCAAGCAGGCAGCUCGCUCUUGCAUGGAUUAGCAUGGGAUAAUGAAAUAGGACUUUGGUGCUCUUUUGUUGGUUUCGAACACCGAAGUAAUGAUUAACAGGGACAGUCAGGGGCACUCGUAUUCC
rnacentral:rRNA from 1 species